GUGGGGAAUAUUGGGCAAUGGGCGAAAGCCUGACCCAGCAACGCCGCGUGAAGGAAGAAGGUUUUCGGAUCGUAAACUUCUAUCCUUGGUGAAGAUAAUGACGGUAGCCAAGAAGGAAGCCCCGGCUAACUACGUGCCAGCAGCCGCGGUAAUACGUAGGGGGCAAGCGUUGUCCGGAAUGAUUGGGCGUAAAGGGCGCGGAGGCGGCCCGGUAAGUCUGAAGUGAAAGUCCUGCUUUUAAGGUGGGAAUUGCUUUGGAUACUGUCGGGCUUGAGUGCAGGAGAGGUAAGCGGAAUUCCCGGUGUAGCGGUGAAAUGCGUAGAGAUCGGGAGGAACACCAGUGGCGAAGGCGGCUUACUGGACUGUAACUGACGCUGAGGCGCGAAAGUGUGGGGAGCAAACAGGAUUAGAUACCCCAGUAGUCC
rnacentral:rRNA from 1 species